UCCUGUGUGCCAUCUCGCGCUUAAACUUCAGAUGCAUCGGAUUAGCGCGGGACAGAAAUCCACGUACCUUUUCAGCUUCCGUCCGGAUCUCGUCCAGCAGGUCGUCGGCGUCGUAGGCGGCGUCCUUCAGUUNCAGAUUGUGCGAGGUCGUGCACUAAAUCAUGCAUCCGACAGGUGGUAACCUUUCUAUAAUUUUCCUUCACGUCUUGAAGGAAAGACAUCCAUAAUAGAUUGUUAAAGUACUGAUUCCCGAUAUCUUCCGUCGAAGUCCAUGUUUCAUGCGAUGAAAUGAAGCCUAAAGCAAUCCAUUGCCGGAUCAAGUCAUCCUUGUCAAUCUCAUAGUCUUUGGGGAAUAUGAAGCAGUAAGCGAAGCACUGCUUCAAAGCCGACGGCAUCUGAAUGUAGCUCAAUUUUAAUGAUGGUAAAAUAGUUCUUUCUUCCAACCUCCAUAUUUCGCUUUCUUCCAACCUCCAUAUUUCACUUUCUUCAAUAGCGGACCAUGCAUCCUCCGUCCUGUUCUUUGAAUACAUCAUACUUCCUAAAGCAUUCGCUGCUAAAGGCACGCCGCCGCACUUCUUUACUAUCUGCUUUCCGAUUGCGACCAAACUUGGAUAGUCGUUCUCUUCCCCAUCAUCGAAUGCCAGCCUUUUGAACAAUGUCCAACAAUCAUCAUCUGAUAAGCCUUUCACACGGUGUGGUUCGACUGUUUUCAUUAUCGCGGCGACCUUUUCGCUUCGUGUGGUCACUAAGAUUUUACUUCCCUGCUUGCUGUCCUUAAAUAAAUCCUUCAGUUUCUCCCACUUUUCCUGAUCUUCGUUCCAUACAUCGUCCAGCACCAGCAAACAUCUGAUCUGGCUAAAGAUCUUGACAAGGCACCUCGCGAUGGUGUCCAUGUUGUCAAGAUCAUCACAAUUCUCGACAAGGCGCCUCGUGACAUCACAUUUCUGUCGAGCUGCAGUUAUCACCCGCUUUCCAAUUGUCUUCGUGUCGAAAUCGGUAGACACGCAGACCCACGCCCGUAGAUCGAAGCGCUGCUGGCCCGUAACCCGCCCGUCGUUGAAGGCCAGCUGAGCGAGCGUCGUCUUCCCCAAACCCCCCAAUCCCACGAUCGGAAUGACCGACACGUCGUGAUCGCCGUUAGUCUCUAGGAGAAGCUUCACAAUUUUCUCCUUAUCACCAUCUCUCCCUACUAUUCUCUUUUCGUUGACGACCGAGUAUGUGUCAGGGCGUUUGAACUCAGCCUUCCGAACAGGGCCAGCUUCGGCAAGACCGAAAUCAUUUCUUUGUUUCGCGAUCUUACCGAUCUUUUCUCUGAGCUCUUUCAUCCUGUGUGCCAUCUUGACCUUAAACUUCAGAUGCAUCGGAUUAGCGCGGGACAGAAAUCCACGUACCUUUUCAGCUUGCGUCCGGAUCUCGUCCAGCAGGUCGUCGGCGUCGCAGGCGGCGUCCUUCAGUUUGCGCAGCCAGUGGCGCAGAGCGUGGCUCUCCUUCCCAGCGCUGCUCCGCUCCUCGGCGUCGAGAAGCACCGCCUGGAUCGCCGAGAAGUUGCUUCUGAGAUCGUCCGCGUCGUCCUUGAAGCUCCGCAGCAGCCCGAUUUCGUCCCAGAGAGCGGAGCCCAGCUUGCCCAGCACUCCUUUGACCAGAUCGAAUGCGAUCCCCUCCGCCAUUGCUAUUACCAAAGCAGCUAGCUAGCUAUGUG
rnacentral:lncRNA from 1 species